GGAAAUGUGCCUGAACACUAAAGGGUCACUAUNAU
rnacentral:tRNA from 1 species